rnacentral:rRNA from 1 species
UUGUCCGGAAUUACUGGGUGUAAAGGGAGUGUAGGCGGGAUAUCAAGUCAGAAGUGAAAAUUACGGGCUCAACUCGUAACCUGCUUUUGAAACUGACAUUCUUGAGUGAAGUAGAGGCAAGCGGAAUUCCUAGUGUAGCGGUGAAAUGCGUAGAUAUUAGGAGGAACACCAGUGGCGAAGGCGGCUUGCUGGGCUUUUACUGACGCUGAGGCUCGAAAGCGUGGGGAGCAAACAGGAUUAGAUACCCUGGUAGUCCACGCCGUAAACGAUGAUUACUAGGUGUGGGGGGAUUGACCCCUUCCGUGCCGGAGUAAACACAAUAAGUAAUCCACCUGGGGAGUACGACCGCAAGGUUGAAACUCAC